GGAGUCUCACUGGGCAAAAUCAAGUUGAGCCACAAAAGAGCUGGAAACACAUCAACAAGACUCUGUGUGUGUGUGUGUGUGUGUGUGUGUGUGUGUGUGUGUGUGUGUGUGUGUUUGUCUUUGCAGUGACUCCACAGUUCUCUAGAAAAGGAGCUGUUGUACGGGUUAUAUAGAUCAACGUUGAUAUAGAUAGAAAGUUUGUGGAUUAGCAUUGUCCAAUCAUGUCUAUCCUUAUCUUACCAAGCUUUCUAUUCCUUAUUCCCAACUUUCUGAACAUUUUUAGCCACUGACUUAAUGGAUGGUUCUAAGCACGGAUCCACAAGCACAUCAUGUAGCAGUAACAAUGGAAAAGGAGAUCUGACCCCACCUCACAGCCUUUCCUGACCCUACUUCCUGGUCUAAUGCCUGAAACAUAAUAGUAAUUAGCUUCCCAUGUCCAACUGAUUGUCUGUGGUGCUUGUAAAAACAAGACUAUCUAAGCAAGAAAUAUCUGUUUGACCAGCUUUUCCAAAGGGAUGUGUUUACCACAAACAAACAACCUCCCAUGAAGGGCUGGCCUCUCAGACACCUGUUGGGCUAAACCAGUUUGAGUACACCAAAGAGAGAUCAUAUUUUUAUUCUCUGUCCAAGAAGAGGUCAUACCAGCAGAUCAUAUGCAUGUAACAACAAAAAGGCUUUCUUGGGACCACUGCACAUGCGUGCAGUGACUUUGUGCAAAUUAGGCAAGGCAUCCUCAAUUCUGAGAAGAUGAAGCCCCACGGCAGGGAGCACAGCUUAGAAAAGAGAGCACAGGCUGAAGUUCACCUCGGUGAACUGCUUCUGUAGAUGUCCUUGUCCAGUGAAGAAACUGGCCAACUUCACAUCAGGUCUUUCGUCCUGUGGUACUGCCUGCCCUGGUUUGAGAGGCUGCUCUGAACUCCUCCAUGUUUCUUGAGUAACUCUGGAAUCUUCUGCCCAAGGUAGCUGUCCUUUCUUUGGGCUUUACUUCAUCUUUUGCUCCAAUGUCAAAAUUAUUUAAUUCCUAGGUGUCUGGUUUAAAGAAUCUUUGUGUCUGAUCCCUGAUCCGCUACAUUUAAUUCUUUUGUUAGCACCUGGAAGGGAGAGGGGCAGAUGUGAGCUACAGCUGGGUCCUGCUGUGUCCCAGACUCCCACCUUUCUGGCCUCACUGGAAACUAAAAGCCAUACUUUUAUGUGCCCAACUUUGAUGGUGCCCCAUUAAUGACUGAUUAGUGGUUACAUUGUCUAUCCCUCCAAGUCACUUGUCAGCUAACAAGACCACUGGCCUGUCUUCCAAAAAGGAUUUUUUUUCAAAUUUUUAUUUUUAUUUUAAAGAUUUAUUUCUUUUAUGUAUGGUAAUAUACAGUUGCUCUCUUUAAUUGGAUCCUAUUACAGGUGGCUGUGAGCCACCUGUCACAGCAAUAGAAAAGAAACUAUGACAUUGGGAGGGAAAAAAGUGGCUGCUUGGGGAGGCAGAUGGUUUCAUUUGGGAUGAUAAAUAUCAUGUGAGUGGGCACAGUGACUGUGGCUCAGAGGCCAGCAGGCACCUUGACCAAGACACAGAUCCAGGCACAUGGAAUACUCUGUAUGAGAACCUGGUGUGAUGACCAAGUUGAGGUCAGUGGCACUGGCCAGCCGGUGUGACAGCUUGGAACAGUGUGCUCGUAAUCCCAGCUUGCGGGGUUGGGGAUUUAGCUCAGUGGUAGAGUGCUUGCCUAGGAAGCACAAGGCCCUGGGUUCGGUCCCCAGCUCCAAAAAAAAGAAAAAGGAAAAAAAAAAUCCCAGCUUGCACUUGUUCAACUUAAAUCCUUUUGAUGUUAUAAGAGCAAGGCACACUGGGUAGAAACCAUCUUGAACUUUUGCAUUUGCUAGCAGUGUGCCGUGAUGUGUUGCUAGCAGUGGAAAGUGGCCUCUAGCUACAUCUUCCAACUGUAUUACCGUGCAGGAAACCAAUGAGAUGGUUCAGUCAGUGUACUGUGGAUGACCAGGGCGCACGGCAGGCCAAGCACAUACAAUGAACUUAAGGGGUUUAUCCACAUGUAACCCCUUGAUAAGCCAAGGAACUACUAUAAGUGCAAAGACUUUCAGAUAAACAUGAGAGAGAAGAAAGCCUUGACUCUGUUACCAAGGUUUGGUCUUCUUGACUUUUUCAAGAUAGUGGGUUUCUUUGCUGUCACCGUUUUUCUUUGUCUUCUGUGAAAGAAGUGACAGAAUUAAGACACCAGUUUCCGAAGGUCCCCAGAACUCCAAUUCAGCUUCCAACGCCCAAGCAAAAUCAGGGUGUCAUUAUCUCUAAAUCCAGGUCUCAGAUUCAGGCCUCCAGUCUCCUGGGGUGUUUUGUGCGCUAAAAUUAGACUCACAGAACAUAACGAACGAGCUAUGAAAGUUCCACCGCACGAACAGUCCUUUAAAGUGUGCACUUGGUUUGACACCUGUCUGGUGACUGCAGACCCUGCAGGUUCACUGUGAUGUAUGUCACCAUAAGCCAAGAAUAAACGCACAGCCAGUGCUAACUAAAGGGAUAGACCAUCACAAGAUUCAAGUGCUUUCUGUAUCAUUGAAGCAUUAGUACUAAGGUUCUGUGUUAUUCAGGGUUCACAGCCUCACAGAUCAUCUCACUAAAGCUUGAUGCUUUCUCUCUCCACCGCCAAGCUGCUCUGCUCACAACACUUCUGAUAUCAAAAUGUAGGUGUUUCCUAUCAAUUGUCAAUGAGGGACUUCUGAUGCUUACCACCAGGGGUUAACAGCAGUGCCGGAGGAUUGACCAUGCAGUCUGUAAGACUGCCCCAUUUUGUAGACAAAUGCAAGUCCUUAGUUUGCUGAACUUCUGACUUAACACUUGUUAACCAGGGAUUCCUACAGCCCACACCCUGGCUUGACAAGUUGCUAGGAUGGCUCUCUCACAACUGGAACCCAGUUUCAGUUACUGUUACCAGCUCAUUAUAAAGAAAGAAGGAACACAAAUGAAGUUCAGAGGGCAGGGUCCCAAACUACCCUAAACCGAAGCUUCUAUCCUACUGAGGAGUGCACCCUUCAUCUUGGUACAAAAUGAUGUUCACCAAUCAUAAACCUCCCUGUAACUCUUCAUUUAGAGAUUCUUAUUGAGGCUCCAGAUGGUGGGCAUGUGUGAGGAAACCAUAGAUUAUUGUCAGAUAGCCCAGUCUCUACCAUCUGUUGUCUCUAGAGGUUUAAGUGUAGCACUCAGGUUCCUCCACUCUAUUCACAUGGUGGUUCCUCUGGCUACCAACCCCUACCCCAGGACUAUCUAGGGGCCUGUGAAGUCACUUCAGAAAGAUGAAAAGGUUCCCUAUGCAUACAGAGCUAUACCGCUCUUACUUUUGGGGUUUGUGAACUUCCAAGAGAUCUUGAUGUCCUAUGCUGGAGCUGAGGAGACAGAGCAGAGACUUCUCACCCUAUCAUCACACCACACUGGCCCACAUGCACCCCCAUUUCUGCAUAUCCCUCUCUAAGCCAGAUAUUGCGCUGCACAGAGCAAAUCUGCCUCCCAAAAUGGCUUUGGGGGUUUCAUUCCAGGUUAACUAGAUGUGGUCCUGAAGGCCUUUCUCUUUCUCAAGGAAGAUGGGAUGCACUUGAAGCCAGAACCCCACAGCCUCAGAGGGUCUUUCCCAAAGCCAGCCUCCCACUGACCCUCAAGCUCUCCAGGAGUGGGCAGCUGGCUUUCCUAUGCAACUAACGCAAUCACUGGCAUCUGUCCCACUCUUCUCCCACAACAGUGGUGUCCAGUUAAAAAGGCAAUGAUGGUGAAUUGGGUGGGAAUGCUCCUUGUCUAGAAAAGCCCAUCCCAGUGGUCUGACGAAGCAUCCUGAUUCAGCACACCCCUGUCUGCGUGGUUGAGAGGAGUGUCAGGACCCAGCAAUUUAAAAAUUCCAACAAGGAGAAGGGAGGGGCUCAUGAGGACCGGCCCCUUGCUGAAGGAUUGAUGGAUGGGCAGGGCUUUCUCCCCAGGCUCCUUGCUUAUUAACCCAGUGCUAAAAGAGCCCCUCUUUAACGUCACUGUUCUUGUCAACAUUGAGAGCUGCUUUGUCACAUUGGUUAUGUCCACAACUUGACUCCCGAGUCUGGCUUUGCCAAGCCUUUUGUUCUGCUUUUUACAUUUUUGUACUGCAAAAUGGGUGUGAGUCUCUGUGGGCCUGGAGCAGAAUGUUAGUUACUGCUUGACCUUAAGGUGUCUGGUUGACCCACUGGUUUUGGACACUCAGUUCCGAAAGUUAGGUACUAAUUUUAAAAGGUCGUGGAGCACUCAGGUCGUGUGAAUCUGCCCAGUGGAAAUCACCAUGGUUCCUCUUUGAAAGCCGUAGCCCGGGCCUGAUACCAGUCCAGCUUUCAGUUUAUUGAUCUGUCAAAGAAUGAGGAGCCUCCACCACCCACCCCUGCCACCAUAGCUUCCAUCAAGGCCACCCUGCAGAGUGAAAAUGAGGACAUGGCUGCUCCUGUACAGUGAUAACCAUUGAAUCGCAUAACCUACUGAAGAGAAGACUCCAGAGAAACAGGUAUUCCCAUGAACUCAUAAGUUACUUGUUAAUUUCAAAGGCAACAUGGCCUUUACAUUAAGGAAAUCUGCCAGGACCCGCCGUGUUCACAUCCUGUCAUGUUGGCACCAGCUCCAGUGGAAUAAUCUAACUCUUAAGUUCCUGAUCUGAAGAUGCCAGGGAAGAGCACCUCAGGACAAAAUAUCCUGGAAAGGUUUCACCUAUAUCACACUCUGAUGUAACAGACAAGAACGUGCUAGUUGGGUGUUUUGUUUUUUUGUUUUGUUUUUUUGUUUGUUUGUUUUUUUGGUUUUUUUUUUUUUUUUUUUUUGGCUAACUUGACACAAAGUAAAGACACCUGGGAAGAGGGAAUUUCAGUGAAGAACUACUUCCAUGAAGCUGGCCUGUGUCCAUGUCUGGAGGCAUUUUCCUUCUUGCUCGUUGAUGGAAGAGGGCCCAGCCCACUCCUGGGCAGUGCCAUCCUGAGUAGGUUGGCUGGGCUGUAUAGCAAAGGCAUCUGAACAUGAACCUAGGAGAAAGGCAGUGAGUAGCAUUUCUUCAGAGUACCCACUGCAUUUAUUGUCUCCAGGUCUCUGCUUGAGCUCCUGCCCGACUCCCCACAAUGACACAACAGGACUUGGAAGUAUAAGCUAAUGGGAGACAUUUUGCUCCCCCAAGGAGUUUUGUUCUGUGUUUCAUCAUAGCACCAGAAAGCAAACCAGGAUGCACAAAAGUCCAGGGAGUGGGCAUUUUGCAGUUCCCCAAAACAGUGCCUCACAGGUGACAGCAUUUUUUCCUUCUUGUGAACUGUUGCUUAACUUAAGAUCAUUGUGACACCACUUAGGGUGACACUGGCAUUUCUGGCAACAGAAAGAGAUGAAAUGUUUACCUUCUCCAAGAACCAAAGUUCCGUACUCAAAUUCCUCAAGCUUCAUCUGUGCCUAAGAUCCUGGAAGGGAAGUAACAUAGAGAUGACUAAAUAUCCUGCCAUCGAUGGAUAUAGAAUAAACGUGGGAAGAUGGACUCAACGGCUAAUAGCAGCUAAGGGAAGGAUAGGAGGAGGGAUUCUACUGGUAGAUACAAGGGCCAUCAGCAAACCUUGUCUAAAUACAGAGGAGCACACUACCUUCAAUAAAUCACAUGGGGUUGGUGAAAAGACCUUUGCUAUUUCCAAAAUUAUUACCAAGCAUUUGCAACAAAGACCACUCUGAGCCAGGGUUUAAAGAGUGUGGUAGCUGUUCUUGGUUGUCAACCUGACUGACCGUUUCCAGAAUUAACUGAAAGCCAAGCAGCUGGAUACACCAGAGAGAGAAACAUUUUUCUUAAUUAAAUAACUUUAAGUUGGAAGCCCAAGUUUUAAUCUGGAUCUUUUGAGGUGGAAAUCCACCUUUAAUGUGAGCCACAUUUUCUGAAGGACACAGAAGAAGGAAGCGUGCUCUUUGCCUGCUUGCUCUCCCUCUGUCUAGCAAGUCCAUUCCUUCUCUGGUUGUGAAAGCUACUUCUUCAGGAUUCUGGCGUAUACUGAAGACCAGCUGAUGCCUGGCCUUGUGGACUAAACAACUACUAGAUUCUCAGAACUUCCAUUGGUUGAUAGCCAUUAUUGAACGAGUUGAACCACAAUAUGUAAGUCAUUCUAAUAAAUCCCAUAUAUACAUAUA